rnacentral:rRNA from 1 species
AUUGAACGCUGGCGGCAGGCCUAACACAUGCAAGUCGAACGAGUGGCGGAAGGGUGAGUAAUGUCGGGGAAACUGCCCGAUGGAGGGGGAUAACUACUGGAAACGGUCGCUAAUACCGCAUACCAUCGGAUGUGCCCAGAUGGGAUGAGCUAGUAGGUGGGGUAACGGCUCACCUAGGCGACGAUCCCUAGCUGGUCUGAGAGGAUGACCAGCCACACUGGAACUGGGACACGGUCCAGACUCCUACGGGAGGCAGCAGUGGGGAACUUUGCACAAUGGGCGCAAUCCUGACGCAGCCAGGCGGCGGGUUGGAAGAAGGCUUUCGGGUUGUAAAGUACGUUCAGCGAGGAGGCGUUACCCGCAGAAGAAGCAACGGCUAACUCCGUGCCAGCAGCCGCGGUAAUUC